UGAGUGUCUUAUUUAGAAAAUUGACAAUGC
rnacentral:piRNA from 1 species